rnacentral:rRNA from 1 species
GUUGUUCGGAAUUACUGGGCGUAAAGCGUACGUAGGCGGAUUAAUAAGUUAGAGGUGAAAUCCCAGGGCUCAACCCUGGAACUGCCUUUAAAACUGUUAGUCUUGAGAUCGAGAGAGGUGAGUGGAAUUCCAAGUGUAGAGGUGAAAUUCGUAGAUAUUUGGAGGAACACCAGUGGCGAAGGCGGCUCACUGGCUCGAUACUGACGCUGAGGUACGAAAGUGUGGGGAGCAAACAGGAUUAGAUACCCUGGUAGUCCACACCGUAAACGAUGAAUGCCAGACGUCAGCAAGCAUGCUUGUUGGUGUCACACCUAACGGAUUAAGCAUUCCGCCUGGGGAGUACGGCCGCAAGGUUAAAACUCAAAUGAAUUGACGGGGGCCCGCACAAGCGGUGGAGCAUGUGGUUUAAUUCGAUGCAACGCGAAGAACCUUACCUACUCUUGACAUACUAGAAACUUUUCAGAGAUGAAUUGGUGCCUUCGGGAAUCUAGAUACAGGUGCUGCAUGGCU